rnacentral:rRNA from 1 species
CUACGGGUGGCUGCAGUGGGGAAUAUUGCACAAUGGACGAAAGUCUGAUGCAGCAACGCCGCGUGGAGGAUGACACAUUUCGGUGCGUAAACUCCUUUUAUAUAAGAAGAUAAUGACGGUAUUAUAUGAAUAAGCACCGGCUAACUCCGUGCCAGCAGCCGCGGUAAUACGGAGGGUGCAAGCGUUACUCGGAAUCACUGGGCGUAAAGAGCGUGUAGGCGGAUAGAUAAGUUGGAAGUGAAAUCCUAUGGCUCAACCAUAGAACUGCUUCCAAAACUGUCUAUCUAGAAUAUGGGAGAGGUAGAUGGAAUUUCUGGUGUAGGGGUAAAAUCCGUAGAGAUCAGAAGGAAUACCGAUUGCGAAGGCGAUCUACUGGAACAUUAUUGACGCUGAGACGCGAAAGCGUGGGGAGCAAACAGGAUUAGAUACCCGCGUAGUC